GCCAGUCUGUAGGGAGUCGCUGUUGGGAUACCACCCCUGUAGUACUGGGACUCUAACCAGAGGCCUUGAAUCAGGUCUUGGGACACUGUCAGGCGGGCAGUUUGACUGGGGCGGUCGCCUCCCAAAGAGUAACGGAGGCGCGCGAUGGUGGGCUCAGAGCGGUCGGAAAUCGCUCGUUGAGUGCAAUGGCAUAAGCCUGCCUGACUGCGAGACUGACAGGUCGAGCAGAGACGAAAGUCGGUCAUAGUGAUCCGGUGGUCCCGAGUGGAAGGGCCAUCGCUCAACGGAUAAAAGGUACGCCGGGG
rnacentral:rRNA from 11 species